rnacentral:lncRNA from 1 species
AAUAACGAACGAAAGCAAGAAAGAACGCCAGAUAAGAAAGUAAGAAAGAAAGAAAGAAAGAAAGUAAGAAAGAAAGAAAGAGAGAGAGAAAGAAAGCGCGACAGAAUGAAAGAGAGAGAGAAAGAAAGAGAGAGAGACCCCCAGAAAGAGAGAAAGAAAGCAAGAAAGAAAGGAAGAAAGAAAGAAAGAAAGAAAGAAAGAAAGAAAGAAAGAAAGAAAGAAAGAAAGAAAGAAAGAAAGAAAGAAAGAAAGAAAGAAAGAAAGAAAGAAAGAAAGAAAGAAAGAAAGAAAGAAAGAGAGAGAGAAAGAAAGAGAGAGAGAAAGAAAGAGAGAGAGAAAGAAAGAGAGAGAGAAAGAAAGAAAGAGAGAAAGAAAGAAAGAAAGAAAGAAAGAAAGAAAGAAAGAAAGAAAGAAAGAAAGAAAGAAAGAAAGAAAGAAAGAAAGAAAGAAAGAAAGAAAGAAAGAAAGAAAGAAAGAAAGAAAGAAAGAAAGAAAGAAAGAAAGAAAGAAAGAAAGAAAGAAAGAAAGAAAGAAAGAAAGAAAGAAAGAAAGAAAGAAAGAAAGAGAGAAAGAGAGAAAGAGAAAGAGAGAAAGAGAAAGAGAGAGACAAAGAGAGAAAGAGAGAAAGAGAGAAAGAGAGAAAGAGAGAAAGAGAGAAAGAGAGAAAGAGGGAAAGAAAGAAAGAAAGAAAGAAAGAAAGAAAGAAAGAAAGAAAGAAAGAAAGAAAGAAAGAAAGAAAGAAAGAAAGAAAGAAAGAAAGAAAGAAAGAAAGAAAGAAAGAAAGAAAGAAAGAAAGAAAGAAAGAAAGAAAGAAAGAAAGAAAGAAAGAAAGAAAGAAAGAAAGAAAAAAAAAGAAAAAAAGAAAGAAAGAAAGAAAGAAAGAAAGAGAAAAGAACCCCUAGUUUUUUGGAGGAGGAUAGGGAGAAGAGGAAUAAUUCAGCCAUGGUAUUUUGAGAAUGGAAAGGGCAUUAUGCCAUCUAAAGAGGGGGUGUAGAAUCAGAGAAGGUUCCAGAGAUAUAUAGCCCUUGAACUGAGCCUUGAAGGAAGCCAAG